GUGGGGAAUAUUGGACAAUGGGCGCAAGCCUGAUCCAGCCAUGCCGCGUGUGUGAAGAAGGUCUUCGGAUUGUAAAGCACUUUAAGUUGGGAGGAAGGGCAGUAAGUUAAUACCUUGCUGUUUUGACGUUACCGACAGAAUAAGCACCGGCUAACUUCGUGCCAGCAGCCGCGGUAAUACGAAGGGUGCAAGCGUUAAUCGGAAUUACUGGGCGUAAAGCGCGCGUAGGUGGUUUUGUAAGUUGGAGGUGAAAUCCCCGGGCUCAACCUGGGAACUGCCUCCAAAACUGCAUGACUAGAGUACGGUAGAGGGUAGUGGAAUUUCCUGUGUAGCGGUGAAAUGCGUAGAUAUAGGAAGGAACACCAGUGGCGAAGGCGACUACCUGGACUGAUACUGACACUGAGGUGCGAAAGCGUGGGGAGCAAACAGGAUUAGAUACCCUAGUAGUCC
rnacentral:rRNA from 1 species